AGCGAACAUUGGCGGUAGGCUUAACACAUGCAAGUCGAGCGAGGCGUAAUAGUCGAGCGGCGAACGGGUGCGUAAUACAUGGGAAUCUACCUCGAAGUGGGGGACAACGUCCAGAAAUGGACGCUAAUACCGCAUAAUCCAUAUUGGGAAAGCGUUGCAGCGCUUUGAGAUGAGCCCAUGGCUGAUUAGCUAGUUGGUGAGGUAAUGGCUCACCAAGGCGACGAUCAGUAGCUGGUCUGAGAGGAUGACCAGCCACACUGGAACUGAGACACGGUCCAGACUCCUACGGGAGGCAGCAGUGGGGAAUCUUGCGCAAUGCGGGCAACCCUGACGCAGCCAUACCGCGUGAGUGAUGAAGGUCUUCGGAUUGUAAAGCUCUUUCGGCGGGGACGACGAUGACGGUACCCGCAAAAGAAGUCACGGCUAACUUCGUGCCAGCAGCCGCGGUAA
rnacentral:rRNA from 1 species